GGGCGUGACGGUGAGCUGGUUGCAACAUCUGUCACCCCGCUGAUCGCCAGGGUGACUUGGCUGACCUUGCUGCCUAGAGGUCUGUCCCCUUCCUUCCUCACCGCUCCACGGGUAUCCCUCCCGAAGCUACAAGCUCGGUUGAAGAGGAUGACCAUCCCUGAUAGAGGAGGAUCAGGCUUUGGUCAAGGGUGUACCAGUAGCUGUGCUCCCCUGCUAGAACCUCCAAACAAGCUCUCAAGG
rnacentral:lncRNA from 1 species